AAAGAAAAACAACACAAACGGGGAAGCGAGGCGAGGACGGCCGAGCCGCCCCUGGAAACGCUCCCUGAGAAGCCCGGCCCCGAGCCCUCUCUGCCUUGCACUUCUGGCCCCGCACGGGAAGGCUACAGGUUGUUUGGUUUUAAUUACGCGGGGGGGCGGCCGGGGGGGCGCGGGUGCGGAGCAGCGGCGGUGCUCGGCCCCGCAGCCCCGGGAGAUUUGGGGAAAGUGGGGCUGAGACCGGAGGGGGGGGGGUGCAGAGAAAGGGACCCGGGCGCAGCCCAAACUCCGGCUCAGCCCAAACUCCGGCCGGGGCAGCGGCACCCCCCCCCCCCGCCCGCGGCUCAGCGGCCCCCCCGCAUGCGGUGCGUUUUCGGGAGCGGUGCCCCCGGGCGCCGGGGGAGCUGACACAUGUCACCGGCCAAACUUUCCCGCGGCAAUUGUGGCACAAAUGGAGCAGCGCUCAGAGACGGAGGGUUCCGGUGACUUUUCGGUGGACGCAGAAGACUUGCUGUCAUAUUUCCACGUUCCGGGAACAAUAACUAUUACCGGGGCAGGGAAGAGCUGACCAGAUUUAGGUCCCUGGAAGAUUAGAAGAUUGUCUUCAAAGUGGUCUGUUUUGAUGGCAGUCUGAAACAAUCAAAGAGGGAAGAGAAUCAGAAAAUGGACAAGAAUGAGUGAGCAUCUGGCUUUGUGAGUACAUUUGUGAAACUCCUCUGAGAGGCAGAGGAAGAUCUCUUCUCCAGUCCCUGAUCUACUGUGUGUUCAGAGUUAACAAUGAAGGACACGCUGCAGCAGAGACUGCUUUUCAAAUUUCUGUCCAUGCAGGAAGCUGCUCCUUGCCUCUGGACUGUAAGAACCGAAAUCAGUAGAACCCAAAAUUUGACUUCACAUUUAAAUAAAUAUACACUAAAAAUUACACCGUUUUCCCAGCUUUAAGAUACAUCAGGUUUACCUAAGUCUCUAUGCUUCUUAUGCAGAGUAGUCAUCAAGCUGGCUGCUGAAUUAUUUCCUUAUAAGAUCAUUUAACUUCAAAACUUCAUACUAUACAGGUCACAUGUUCUGGUGAUAUUCAGAAGGGAAUUGUCACUUUCAGACAACUAAUAUCAGUCAUUCUGCUAUCUAUAUUUGGAUUGCAGGCUCAGGAAAGUGUGAUGGCAGUUAUUAACUGCUCUCAAGAAAUCCACUUGCAAGAUGGAUUUAUUUCUUGAUUAAUGAUGGAGAUAUUCAAGUAUUAAUUCCAGUUUUUUAUAUCACAAACUUGAUAUCAUCCUUGUUCUCUCCACCCUUAAAAUUACUAUGAUUACUCUAAUUGUUAGAAAGCUAUUAUUUGAUUCAGAUUUGCAAAGUAAUUAUCAGCUAGUAGCACAUCUGCCAUUUCUUACUAAAUUUUGGUAUGUAUUGUUGUAUCUCAAUUAACAAAAGAUCUACUAACUGAAGCACUGCUACAUGAAUUCUAGUAAGGCUUUCAAGCAUGACAUAAAUUUUGUACUGAUUGAUUCUGACUUACUGUGUGCUGUUAAAUUUGUUGCUUUGCAUUUCAGAACUGUUCUGUGAACCCAGUGCUUGACGGUUUUUACAGUGAUUUUCUAGUCUGCAGCAAUCAGAUGUACAUGUAAAGGUUUUAACUGAUGGAGCAUCCUUUAUGACAUUGUUUUUACUCUUGCUUUGUGAGAUGUAUUCUCAUUACCUUCUUUCUUUGAUUGUGUCACAGGCUACAGGGAUUAAAUAGAAUUAUAGUUUUUAAUCUCAUCUUUGAGAUGGUACUACUAACAUAAUGGGAUAAUUAUCUCCACAUGUCUAGCUUCUCUUUCAUGAAUAUGAGGAACAGUGGAGGCAGCAAACAUACCAGCUAUUAAUACUGGAGCAUCAUUGAUUUGCUUUUUACUCCAACCAUACUUAUAUAAAGUUAUUCAACUUGUUGCAAAAUUAUAAACCACUUAACAAUUACAAGAUUUUGAGCAUUUGUAAAUAUGGAAACAUGCUUGUGUGCACACAAACAUACAUGUAUACCACAAAUGUCUGUUAGUGUUUCUAUAUUAAACAAUUUCAAUAACUCACUACUACACUCUU